GACGAACGCUGGCGGCGUGCCUAAUACAUGCAAGUUGAGCGCUGAAGGUCGGUACUUGUACCGACUGGAUGAGCAGCGAACGGGUGAGUAACGCGUGGGGAAUCUGCCUUUGAGCGGGGGACAACAUUUGGAAACGAAUGCUAAUACCGCAUAAAAACUUUAAACACAAGUUUUAAGUUUGAAAGAUGCAAUUGCAUCACUCAAAGAUGAUCCCGCGUUGUAUUAGCUAGUUGGUGAGGUAAAGGCUCACCAAGGCGAUGAUACAUAGCCGACCUGAGAGGGUGAUCGGCCACAUUGGGACUGAGACACGGCCCAAACUCCUACGGGAGGCAGCAGUAGGGAAGCUUCGGCAAUGGACGAAAGUCUGACCGAGCAACGCCGCGUGAGUGAAGAAGGUUUUCGGAUCGUAAAACUCUGUUGGUAGAGAAGAACGUUGGUGAGAGUGGAAAGCUCAUCAAGUGACGGUAACUACCCAGAAAGGGACGGCUAACUACGUG
rnacentral:rRNA from 1 species